CAGGCUGGUGAGAACUGAAGAUUUCUCCAGAUUGAGCAAACUCCUUUCCAGUUCUUUCUCUGUCUGUGCGGCUGGUCAUAGUGACUGGGGAAAGAAGAGAGCAUAAUCCAAUAAGGACAAAGAAUAUUGAAGAGAAGACAACAAAAACAAAAUUUUAGACACUGGAAAGCAGGAAGAGUAGUAUCUGGUUUGGCAGAUCCAGGAAGACCAAAUCCUGAACCAGCGGUGGAAGCAGGAUGGCCCGGUUUGCCCUGAAACCGGACUUCCUUGAUAAAUGGCUAAUUCCAGGGCUAGAGGAAGAAAUGUACAAGAUCCUAAAACCACUCUGUCCUACCAGACAGCAAAGGCAUUAAAGGAAGGUCUGUCAAAAAAGAUUCAGAAGGCACCUUGAAGAAUUUCCCAACUGA